UUGAAGGCUUCCCGAAAAGAGGGCGGGGCGUCUCCUGUGGCAGAUCUUUCGGGCGGCCGUCUGGCGCCUCCGGACCCUUCUGUCGUUAUGCGCGCGCGGCUCCUUGAAGCUGGGGAAAUUCGCACGCGUCAGGGGUCUCUUACUCGGCUAGCAGCCGCAGAAAAAAGACGCCCCUGAUCAGACUGCUGCUCUCUUCGCUACUCUCCGGACGGCCCGUUUAUCGACCGGAGAUGCGGAGCGCUGAGCCCUUCUCCCUCUCAGGGGGAGGCCGCUCCCCAUUCGUUUGGUGUUUUGAACGGAGAGCGACCUAGUGCGCGAAUAGUAAACCCUUAUACAGAUGUUCAUUUAUUGUUACUUCUGUAUGACAAUGAGGAGUUCAGAAAAGCUCGCGCCAAGUUAACCGACGUUGCCCCGAAAGAGGAGAGAGCCGGGUGAAGUGCUCGGGGGCAGCUGUUCCACAGGGAGAAAAUGUAGUUUCAGGAGGAAGAGAGAAUAGGGAAGUUAUUUGUUUCAACUACUUUUGUGGAGGAAGAGAAUGCAGAAUCUGGUUUCCAUCACAAGCCUUGGAAAACUAUCUUCGUGGUUCAAGCCAUGUUAUUCCUUGUGAAUGAAAGACAAUUCUCCAAUCUUCUGCAGAGGGGAGGGAAGAACAGAGAAAUUGAUCUUUGGCCACUCCAAUGAUAAAUGGAAAGAAAUAUUAUGGCAUGGAUGGUGGAAGAAAUUACUAGAAGAUUCUUCUAGUGUACUCUAGAAUCCUCUAGAGGUCACUGUUGCACCAGCAGAAGAAAACUGAGCACCCCCUCAUAUAGAAAAAUAUCCCUGGCAUGCAAGUAACUGGAAAGGGAUAUAAUACUUGUAAUAUCUUUUUUCUAUGGGCUUUUCAGCAGUCAUCAAAACAGCCAUCCACAAACACCUCCAAAUACAUCCAUUGGUGCCUACAAGGACAAUCCUUCUUAAUAAUUUUCUGAAAACAAAUCGUGAUAGAGGGCUCAAUACUAUGCAAUUUAUCAGUCGUUUUGAAAUAAGAUUUCUUUUGCACCGAGAGAUGGGAAAGGAAAUUAAAAGGCGAAAGAUUUAUACGAAAUUAAACAUGAAGAGGACAGCAGGAAGGGAGGUUUUUUCACUAAAACAUUUCCAGUCCAAAGAUCAUUAAAUUCUAUUUCCCAUGAAAACCAGUUUUAAGCAGCACUUACAAGUAUUUUUGUUUUUUUUUAAAUAAAGCCUCUUUCUUCUCUCCCCA